AUGGCGUUCAUCCAUCCACCAAAUAUCAGCAUCCGUACCGGAGGGGGGCCGGGGCGGCUCGCUGCCGUACCGGAGGGGAGCACGGACGGCGCCAAAGCUGACCACCCGCCGGUGGUGGGACUCUACCGCGACCAGAUCCAGGCCGUCUCCGUGUCCGGCGUGUGGAGAAGAUCAACUAUCUUCGGUCAUGGCGGAUCCAGCCACUCCAGUGCUUCGAAUUCUUGCCCCUCCACCAACUCCGCCUACUCCUCCGGUUCAGCGUCCGCCGUUGCGCUGGACCGCUUUGGCAACCAAGAGCUCACAAGGAUUGCUCGCCAAAUGAUCAGCCACGGGUACAUCCGGCGCAUGGUCCAAGCAUUUGAAGACGCUUCAUUCGCACAAGCAUUCGGCAGCCCGGUCCAUGCCCUGGAAAAUUGGUUCUCGGAGCUCGACGUCGACUGGGUUCUCCAAAUCCACGACGAGCAAGGAUUUCGGCGGCUGCUUCGAGACAAGCCGGCGAUGACGCAAGAAUUGGUCAAGAAGUGGAUCCGGGCUCUUAUCGUAAUUGCCGCCAGUAUCACUGAGUCUGUAUUCCCCUUCCCCACGACGGCAGCGGACGCACGGUUUGUCAAAGCGAGCAUCACCGAGAUGCUUGAUGUCGUGGAUGUUAUCAUCACCGCUCUCGAAGCGGAGAAGAAGCUACAGGUCGUGCUUGACAUGUUUACCGGUGUCUGUGGUGCGUCACACAUACUUACGCCGGUCGACAUCUCUUCAUCAGAAGGCCAAAGCAUUUUCAACGUGAUAGGCAGCAUGUUAGAGAGACAAGCAAACAGGCUAAGCGAGAUGAUAGCAAGCACGAUGGAGGAAGUGAGGACACUCGUGGAGGAAGAUGAUGACUCAUGGGCUAUGGAGAUCUCGCGAGGAGGCGGCGAAAUUCACAACAUCACUCAGUUCAUCAUGAAUUGCAUAGUAUCCAUGAUGAAUGCACACACUUCAACGCAAAACACUGCACCGAGCCACCACACUGAAAACCUUGGUGGCUUGAUCAAUGGCACAAUCAAUUAUCUCAAGGGUCUGCUCUUCACAAAAUCCGAGUCAUGCUCGGAUCAAAGCCUCAGGUACUUGUUCCUGCUCAACAAUACCUAUUUCGUAGCUCAUGUGGUGUCUGAGUCAUCAGGAUCUUCCAUUCCUCAGAUGAGGCACCUCACACUUAAACUUAAGAUUGAACGUAAGAACUACAUGAAUAGUUAUCUCGAUGUUUCUUGGGGACAUGUGCUCUCCUGCAUACCAAAAUCGAGAUUUCCUGGACCGAUCCAUUGUUGGAUCAACACCUCUUCACUGGCCAAAUUCGAGUCGUCAUUUCACAAAACGUACCAGACUCAGAAGUUGUGGAAGGUUCCAGACCCUCAGCUCAGAGAUGAGCUGAGGACAGUUAUCACCCAAAGAGUCGUUUCAGGGUACCGCAGCUACCUAGAGGAGCAUCCAGAGCUGGAGAAACAUGUUGGCCGCGAAAGCAGCAGUCCUGAAGUUUUGCAGGAGAUGUUGGGAGAGCUAUUUGAAGGCUGA
rnacentral:rRNA from 1 species